rnacentral:lncRNA from 1 species
UUCCAUAGUCUUAAAAGAACAAGUGUACAGGUCUGAACUGAAACAGUUGCGAUUUUCAAGACCCCUCACUGUUCAUUCAUUCAUUUAUAAGGUAUCUGUAUGCUUGGCUUGUUGUUCAUGCCAUCUAAACGCAUCAAUGCAAAUUAAGCAUUCUUUUAGAGUACCAAAUGUUAUGCUAAGAAUGCCUGGCUCAUUUGAGAAGACACAGGCUCUGCUCCCACAAAGGCCAAGCUCUAGUGGAAGAUGUAAACUGCCUCCCAACAGUGGUCAAUUUAAGGGCAACCGGAUGAAGUGUUUUGAGAAAAGACCCCUGUUCUACACUUAGGCUGAAACAAGGCUUCCCUAAGGAAGCAAUUUGAGCUGAGAACUAAAUGCCAAAUAGGAUUAACUUGUAAACAGGAGAGGCCACAUGUGUGGAGUAUCCAGGUAACUAAAACAAGGACUUGUGGCUGGCACAGAAAGACAGAGUGAUGUUAUGAGACUAGGGAGUAGACACAGCCCAGACCACGCAGAGCCAUAUGUAGAGUCUGACACGUACUGUAAAGGGACCAUACUGAAGGAUUUUGCCUUUACCCACUUCCUGUUGCUACAACAGAUGAAUACCUGGGACUGGGUAAUUCAUAAAGAAA